UAUAAUUUACUUGAUCUAGACCCAAUCCUACUUGGAUAACUGUGGUAAUUCUAGAGCUAAUACAUGCAUUAAAGCUCUGACCUCACGGGAAGAGUGCAUUUAUUAGAACAAAACCAAGCGGCUUCGGCUGUUUCGGUUGACUCAUAGUAACUGAGCUGAUCGCACGGUCAUGCACCGGCGACGUGUCUUUCAAGUAUCUGCCGUAUCAACUUUCGAUGGUAGUGUAUCUGACUACCAUGGUGAUCACGCGUAACGGAGGAUCAGGGUUCGACUCCGGAGAGUUCGCCUGAGAAAUCGCGAACACAUCUAAGGAAGGCAGCAGGCGCGAAAAUUACCCACUCUCAGCACGAGGAGGUAGUGACGAAAAAUAACGAGACCAUUCUCAUAUGAGGCUGGUCAUCGGAAUGGGUACAAUUUAAACCCUUUAACGAGUAUCUAUGAGAGGGCAAGUCUGGUGCCAGCAGCCGCGGUAAUUCCAGCUCUCAAAGUGCAUAGAAUUAUUGCUGCGGUUAAAAAGCUCGUAGUUGGAUCUGUGCCGUAGGACGUGGUCCACCUUCGGGUGCGCACUACGCUCCUAGGCUUUUUGGCCGGUUUUCCCGUGGUGGCCUUCGCUGGUCGCGGCGGGUGGCUGGCGAGUUUACUUUGAGAGAAUCAAAGUGCUCAAUACAGGCGUCUAGCUUGAAUGAUUGUGCAUGGAAUAAUAGAAAAGGAUUUCGGUCCUCUUUUAUUGGUUUUGUGGACUGAGAUAAUGGUUAACAGGGACGAACGGGGGCAUUCGUAUCGCUGCGUGAGAGGUGAAAUUCUUGGACCGUAGCGAGACGCCCUACUGCGAAAGCAUUUGCCAAGAAUGUCUUCAUUAAUCAAGAACGAAAGUCAGAGGUUCGAA
rnacentral:rRNA from 1 species